UGUGGGAGGGGGCUUGCCCCCGAUUGCUGAGUGUCAGUUACUGCAUCAGGUGUCUGACACACUGCUAUCGGGGGCAAGCCCCCUCCCACA
rnacentral:misc_RNA from 1 species